UAGCAAUAUUAGAGUGGUUGUGGGGGUGGAUGGGCAAGGAUUAGGUACAAAAUGGAUAUUUACAUCUCAUUUCCUGUCUCAGGUAUCUGCAACUCCCUAGAAAAAUGGAAUUAAAUAAAUAAGUUCUUAGAAGAAGUAGAAGAAGAAGAAAGAAAGAAAACCAUGACUUUAAAAAGUGGUGCAUGCAUGAAGUUGUCCAUUGGAAGCCUAGAUUCAAAAGAGGGUAUAGGUGGAACAAAAGCAGGAGAGUCAAUUAGAGCUUGAUGAACUGGGCCUUGGAAAAGACUGGACCAAGAAUACAGGAGCUGGGGCUAAAUGCAGGUCAAAUGGGAUGGGUCUCGUCCACCUGAAAACUCAGAGAGAGGGCCUCCCCUUGGGAAUGAAAAAACGGAUUGAACCAAGUGGCCCAGAUGGAAAGCAGAAAUGCAGACAGAGGGUUGUGGAAGAGGAAACUUAAAAAUAACUGAACAACUUAAAGAAAACAAGCAGGGAUUUAUUGGAAACAACUGCCUCAAGAGGGAAAAAAAUACUCCGGCUUAAGAAUAAAGAAGAUGAGAGGACACAAAAACAAGCCAGAUGAGAAUCACUGGAAGGAAAACCAGAAAGAAGCAAGAAGGGGAACAGUCCUGCAGAAAAUUGGUUGAGGGAAUAGAGGUCCAGGGUAGCCUGGCCUCUCUUCCUUUUAUGCAGGAACGGGCCAUCGCGGGUGUAGGUGCUGGAGUGUGUGUUCUGCUACUAAAAAACCACAGAUGGAGAGUGGGGCGCACAAGAGAAUAUUGGCAAUGAGUCUGAGAUGGCGUCCCCCUGUAGCUGACUGGAUCAGGCAACGGACAUAGAGGCUACGGAAAGGCCUCCAUCUGCCAACUUGGACACACGCUUUCUUUUUCCAGCCCAGUCGAACCCUCUCAUCUCUCCGCUCUGAUGAUAAGCCUUGUUAAGGCUCGAGCUUUCAUCUGCCUGGGUGGUAUCAGGAUUUGGGGGACAUGUGGCCUCAGUGCUUGUGUUUGGGUGGCAUAUGGCUGUGAGCCUCUGCUGAAGUAAACAGGUUUUAUGAAAUAGACAAGGAUGACAGUAAAGAUAAAAAAAACACGAAAACUAGUUGUGUAGGGCAUCCCCUCUGCCACCCAUGGAGUGGGGGGCUCUGGCGAAAUGAUGCCUGACUCUUACAACAACCACAGAAGUUAGGGACCAUUAGUCCAUUUCUUAGAUAAGGAAAGAGGCCCAAAGGGUUGGAUAUUUUCCCCAAAGUCACAUGCCCUACAGCUAGCAAGAAACAGAACUGAAAUUUCCUUUAUAUUUUGUUUUCCCUCUCUCUCUUGGGUGUGUGCGUGUGUGUUUAUGUGCAUGUGCACGCAUUUGUGUUGUCUCUCGAUUAAAAUACUUUGGGUGCCAUUUUUCUCUUUGCCAUGCAUUAAGUACCUGUCAUAGUCCCCAAGAGAAGUGAGAGAAGAAGGAAAGACAAAGGUAAGUGGGGGAGCACUGGUCUUGCUAGAACCGCCCACUCCAGGAGAAAGGGUCUCACACCUUCUAGAUGUUAGAUCCAGGCCACAGUAUUAUUGAGACUACUCUACACUCCUCCCCCAAAGCUGUUUUCCAUCCGUUCAUUCAACAAAUAUUCACUGAGCAAUGAAAUGAUUAAAAAUCCAGGCUCUGGAAUCAGAUUGGCUGAG
ensembl:lncRNA